UAUUAGGUUGGUGCAAAAGUAAUUGCGGUUUCUGCCAUUCCUUUCAAAUGACACAAACUGCAUUUACUUUUGCACCAACCUAAUAC
rnacentral:miRNA from 1 species